rnacentral:rRNA from 1 species
AGAGUUUGAUCCUGGCUCAGGAUGAACGCUAGCUACAGGCUUAACACAUGCAAGUCGAGGGGCAGCAUGUUGGUUGCUUGCAACCAAUGAUGGCGACCGGCGCACGGGUGAGUAACGCGUAUCCAACCUACCCUUGUCCAUCGGAUAACCCGUCGAAAGGCGGCCUAACACGAUAUGCGGUUCUCAGCAGGCAUCUAACGAGAACGAAAUGUGAAGGAGAAGGAUGGGGAUGCGUCUGAUUAGCUUGUUGGCGGGGUAACGGCCACCAAGGCGACGAUCAGUAGGGGUUCUGAGAGGAACGGUCCCCCANAUUGGAACUGAGACACGGUCCAAACUCCGUACGGGAGGCA